rnacentral:rRNA from 1 species
GAUGAACACUAGCGGCAGGCCUAACACAUGCAAGUCGAACGGAAAGGCCCUGCUUUUGUGGGGUGCUCGAGUGGCGAACGGGUGAGUAACACGUGAGUAACCUGCCCUUGACUUUGGGAUAACUUCAGGAAACUGGGGCUAAUACCGGAUAGGAGCUCCUGCUGCAUGGUGGGGGUUGGAAAGUUUCGGCGGUUGGGGAUGGACUCGCGGCUUAUCAGCUUGUUGGUGGGGUAGUGGCUUACCAAGGCUUUGACGGGUAGCCGGCCUGAGAGGGUGACCGGCCACAUUGGGACUGAGAUACGGCCCAGACUCCUACGGGAGGCAGCAGUGGGGAAUAUUGCACAAUGGGCGGAAGCCUGAUGCAGCAACGCCGCGUGCGGGAUGACGGCCUUCGGGUUGUAAACCGCUUUCGCCUGUGACGAAGCGUGAGUGACGGUAAUGGGUAAAGAAGCACCGGCUAACUACGUGCCAGCAGCCGCCGUAAAAC